CCUACGGGUGGCAGCAGUGGGGGAUAUUGCACAAUGGGGGGAACCCUGAUGCAGCGACGCCGCGUGGGUGAAGAAGGGCCUCGGAGCGUAAAGCCCUGUCAGCAGGGAAGAAAAUGACGGUACCUGAAGAAGAAGCCGCGGCCACCUACGAGCCAGCAGCCGCGGUAAGACGUAGGGGGCAAGCGUUAGCCGGAGUUACGGGGUGUAAAGGGGGGGCAGCCGGCGGUGCACGCCAGGAGUGAAAGCCCGGGGCCCACCCCCGGGACUGCUCUUGAAACUGCGUGGCUGGAGUGCAGGAGGGGCAGGCGGACUUCCUUGUGUAGCGGUGAAAUGCGUAGAUAUCAGGCGGACCCCCGGUGGCGAAGGCGGCCUGCUGGACUGCAACUGACGUUGAGGCCCGAAAGCGUGGGGAGCAAACAGGAUUAGAUACCCGAGUAGUC
rnacentral:rRNA from 1 species